AUUGAACGCUGGCGGCAGGCUUAACACAUGCAAGUCGAGCGGGGGAAGGUAGCUUGCUACCGGACCUAGCGGCGGACAGGUGGGUAAUGCUUAGGAAUCUGCCUAUUAGUGGGGGACAACAUCUCGAAAGGGAUGCUAAUACCGCAUACGUCCUACGGGAGAAAGCAGGGGAUCUUCGGACCUUGCGCUAAUAGAUGAGCCUAAGUCGGAUUAGCUAGUUGGUGGGGUAAAGGCCUACCAAGGCGACGAUCUGUAGCGGGUCUGAGAGGAUGAUCCGCCACACUGGGACUGAGACACGGCCCAGACUCCUACGGGAGGCAGCAGUGGGGAAUAUUGGACAAUGGGGGGAACCCUGAUCCAGCCAUGCCGCGUGUGUGAAGAAGGCCUUAUGGUUGUAAAGCACUUUAAGCGAGGAGGAGGCUACUCUAGUUAAUACCUAGGGAUAGUGGACGUUACUCGCAGAAUAAGCACCGGCUAACUCUGUGCCAGCAGCCGCCGUAA
rnacentral:rRNA from 1 species